rnacentral:rRNA from 1 species
GAUGAACGCUAGCUACAGGCUUAACACAUGCAAGUCGAGGGGCAGCAUGAACUUAGCUUGCUAAGUUUGAUGGCGACCGGCGCACGGGUGAGUAACACGUAUCCAACCUUCCGUUUACUCAGGGAUAGCCUUUCGAAAGAAAGAUUAAUACCUGAUAGUAUGGUGAGAUUGCAUGAUAACACCAUUAAAGAUUUAUUGGUAAACGAUGGGGAUGCGUUCCAUUAGGUAGUAGGCGGGGUAACGGCCCACCUAGCCUGCGAUGGAUAGGGGUUCUGAGAGGAAGGUCCCCCACACUGGGACUGAGACACGGCCCAGACUCCUACGGGAGGCAGCAGUGAGGAAUAUUGGUCAAUGGGGCGGAAGCCUGAACCAGCCAUGCCGCGUGAAGGACUAAGGCCCUACGGGUCGUAAACUUCUUAGACGCAGAGCAAUAAGGUCCACGCGU